AAGAGUUAUUGCUUGUCGGUACAUCGUGUUAGAUGAAAGUUUUUUUUAUUUAUAACCUUAUUGUAGUGAAAAAUAUAAUUACUUAAGAUGAUAAUGAAGUCAUUGCAACGAAUUUGGAAUCUGUCCAUGGGGAAAAAAACGUCAAACAAAAGAUAUAUUCAUCUAAUUCCAAUGGUUGUUGAGCAAACGGGCAGAGGCGAGCGAGCUUACGAUAUUUUCUCAAGGUUAUUAAAGGAACGUAUAGUAUGCGUAAUGGGUCCCAUACAUGAUGAUCUAAGCUCUUUAGUUGUGGCCCAACUGUUAUUUCUACAAUCUGAAAAUUUUAACAAGCCAAUUCAUAUGUACAUUAAUUCUCCUGGCGGAGUUGUAACUGCAGGACUGGCAAUUUAUGAUACAAUGCAGUAUGUAAAACCCCCAAUUUCAACAUGGUGUGUUGGUCAAGCAUGUUCUAUGGGUUCUUUACUGUUAACUGCAGGCACUACAGGGAUGAGAUAUUCGCUUCCUAAUGCGCGCAUAAUGAUACAUCAGCCUUCUGGAGGAGUUCAGGGACAAGCAACGGACAUACAAAUCCAGGCAGAAGAAAUUAUAAAGCUAAAAAAGCAAUUGAUAAAUAUAUACGUAAAACAUACGAAACAAUGCUACGAUAAGCUUCAACAGGAUAUGGAACGUGAUAAUUUUAUGUCGCCAGAAGAGGCGAAAAGAAUGGGUUUAAUUGAUCAUGUUCUGGAACACCCUCCCCAAUCGGAGGCAGAUGGUGAUGUUAUGACCACAGUUAAACACUCAGAUGGAAUGUCUGCUGCGCUCCAGUGGCUCUCACCCAAGUAAGACAUGCAUAUUAACCAAUAUGCUAGUGCUUUCAACACAACUAUGUUAUUUAAAUAAGGAAAUAUCGAGCGUUGUACACAACUGUGGUUAAUCUUACUUUGAAGUAGAUAAAGUUCAGCGCUCUCAGUGCUCAAAAAUUCGCCAGCGACUUUACUGAACACAUAUGUAUACAACUUCAGGAAUGCCAAUCACUGGAAGGAAGUCGCUGCAGGUGUUGAUAGCUCCACGGCGGUCAGUACCUGUCGGAAGUUAGUUUCGUCCGAAGACCGGUCGGUAUAUUGUUGUCGUUGUUGUAUGGUUCUGCUCCAAGCAUGUGGCUGCAGGGAUGAUUUCUGCGAAAACAUCAAAGCAGAAACUAGCUGGAUAGUUUCUAAGGUGUGGACACAUUUUUAGCCCGCAAAGUUAGCAAAGUGCGCAUGAGGGCUAGAUGAGGAGAAUAUCAGUUUACGGAGGGAACGGCAAAAGAAGUUGCGAAAAACUCAAUUGCAUUCCUCCGUAAUGUUCAUCGCAGAAUGGUUGCGGCCUGAGAGAAAGAGAUGGCCAACUCCGAGAAACGAGCAAUUGCUAAACGUCAAAACCUACUGAACUUUGACAGCUAAUCGAGUUCAGUAGGUUUUGACGUGUAUCAUUUGGAAACGAGCGAUAUCCAGAUUGAAAUCUUACCAAAAAAAUGUGUAAACGGAGGGAUUUGUUGCAUCGUUCAAGAC